rnacentral:misc_RNA from 1 species
AACGCACGAGACCUGCGGACCUGCGGAAGGAUCGUUACCGAGUUAUCCAACUCCCAACCCCUGUGAAUUAUACCUUUAAUUGUUGCUUCGGCGGGACUUCGCGCCCGCCGGGGACCCAAACCUUCUGAAUUUUUUAAUAAGUAUCUUCUGAGUGGUUAAAAAAAUGAAUCAAAACUUUUAACAAUGGAUCUCU